GUUAAAUAAACCACUAGAAUAGAGUGAAUAAUUGGUGUGUGAAGUCUUGUGGUGUUCGUAACGCAUUUACACUGCGAAGCGCUCUGACCUUAGACCGAGCAAUUAAUCACCAAUAAAAAGAGAAAAAAAAAAAAAAAAAUAUAGUGAAUAAAAUAGAAGGGUGUGGACAUUCUUUGGGACCUUGGCUUUUAGUUGGACUUGAGUGACGGGGUGUUAGUUUUAAACUUUUACGAUUCUUGAUGGGGAUUCUGUGGGAGUAGUAGUCUUUGUCUUGUCUCAAUAAAAGAGCAUGCUUGCACACACUGGCACUCCACACUUGUAAAUAGAAGAGUAAUUGACUUAGUAGCGAGAGAAGUGAAAUGCGAGAACAUUAGCACAAUCUGAGGUAUUAUAAUUGGCAAGGCAAUUACUUCAUAGUUCACUCAUUCAUCACGUAGUUGCAUUCAUGCAUUGCAUUGUAUUAUUGUAUAGUGUCGUUGACGCUUGAGGACAAGCAUCAGUUUAAGUUUGGGGGUGUGAUAAGUGGUAUUUAUACACACUUAUAGGCCUUCAUUUCCACUUAAAUUGGUUGGUUGUACUUAAGUGUUUAGUGUCUUUUGAUGUGUUUUUAGUGUUUUUCUGU
rnacentral:lncRNA from 1 species